ACGGCUCAGCCACCCAGGCACUAAUUAAGAUUUGACAAAAGAGGUGUCUGUAGAGCAAACGGGCAGAUUUUACGAGGGCAGGGGGAAGAGCUUAGAUGACAGGUGUUUAAAACUAAAGCCAUUUUUCCUGGGAUGGGCACCCAUCCUGGCAUUCAGCCCUGGCACACUGAUGAGGAGGUACAGGGCUUGAAUCAAUAGCUGUGGGCUUCUGUUCGGAAACCCUAGGGCAAGCCCAGAGAUCCCCUAGGAGGCAUAAUGGCCUCAUUAUUAUGUUAACCAGAAGGCUGAGGUUUCUGAAAAGGGCACCUCCCUUUCCUGGGUUUGUUUCACCCAAUUCCCUGCACUCAGCUGAGCGCCCUCGGGCACUGUCUCUGGAGGGCAGGCGACCCACUGGAUCUUAAACCAGCUUGUGGCCUCUGGACAAAAUGUCCUCGAAUUAAAGGAAGGAAUGUAACUCCAAAGAAAGAAAAGUCAGCUCCAGGUUUAUUCCCUGCAGCUCAGCUGGCUGUUUAUGUCUCUACAAAGCAUUCACCCCAGAAAGGAAUGUGUACAGCUGGAGGCAUCACAGAAAACAACACACCCCAAUGUCAGGGCUCCUGCACCCCGCCCUCAGGGCAGCCAGGCCAAGAACAGGAGUUGAUUCUUGACGGGAAAGCUCCAAAUGAGACCGGACCUUGAAGGUUCUGCCCUGGAGCGCUGGAGGCUGGGGCGGGG